rnacentral:rRNA from 1 species
UAGUUGGUGGGGUAAUGGCCUACCAAGGCGACGAUCAGUAGCGGGUCUGAGAGGAUGAUCCGCCACACUGGAACUGAGACACGGUCCAGACUCCUACGGGAGGCAGCAGUGGGGAAUUUUGGACAAUGGGCGAAAGCCUGAUCCAGCCAUUCCGCGUGAGUGAAGAAGGCCUUCGGGUUGUAAAGCUCUUUCAGCUGGAACGAAACGGUACGCUCUAACAUAGCGUGCUAAUGACGGUACCAGCAGAAGAAGCACCGGCUAACUACGUGCCAGCAGCCGCGGUAAUACGUAGGGUGCGAGCGUUAAUCGGAAUUACUGGGCGUAAAGCGUGCGCAGGCGGAUUGUUAAGCAAGAUGUGAAAUCCCCGGGCUUAACCUGGGAAUGGCAUUUUGAACUGGCAGUCUAGAGUGCGUCAGAGGGGGGUGGAAUUCCACGUGUAGCAGUGAAAUGCGUAGAUAUGUGGAGGAACACCAAUGGCGAAGGCAGCCCCCUGGGAUGACACUGACGCUCAUGUACGAAAGCGUGGGUAGCAAACAGGAUUAGAUACCCUGGUAGUCCACGCCCUAAACGAUGUCAACUGGUUGUUGGGGGAGUGAAAUCCCUUAGUAACGAAGCUAACGCGUGAAGUUGACCGCCUGGGGAGUACGGUCGCAAGAUUAAAACUCAAAGGAAUUGACGGGGACCCGCACAAGCGGUGGAUGAUGUGGAUUAAUUCGGUGCAACGCGAAAAACCUUACCUACCCUUGACAUGUCCAGAAUCCUGCAGAGAUGCGGGAGUGCCCGAAAGGGAAUUGGAACACAGGUGCUGCAUGGCUGUCGUCAGCUCGUGUCGUGAGAUGUUGGGUUAAGUCCCGCAACGAGCGCAACCCUUAUCAUUAGUUGCUACGCAAGGGCACUCUAAUGAGACUGCCGG